UACGUAGGGGGCUAGCGUUGUCCGGAAUCAUUGGGCGUAAAGCGCGUGUAGGCGGUCCGGUAAGUCCGCUGUGAAAGUCGGGGGCUCAACCCUCGGAUGCCGGUGGAUACUGUCGGGCUUGAGUACGGAAGAGGCGAGUGGAAUUCCUGGUGUAGCGGUGAAAUGCGCAGAUAUCAGGAGGAACACCUAUAGCGAAGGCAGCUCGCUGGGACGUUACUGACGCUGAGGCGCGAAAGCGUGGGGAGCGAACAGG
rnacentral:rRNA from 1 species